rnacentral:rRNA from 1 species
UACGUAGGGUGCAGGCGUUAAUCGGAAUUACUGGGCGUAAAGCGUGCGCAGGCGGUUUGCUAAGACAGGUGUGAAAUCCCCGGGCUUAACCUGGGAACUGCGCUUGUAACUGGCAAGCUAGAGUGUGGCAGAGGGGGGUGGAAUUCCAGGUGUAGCAGUGAAAUGCGUAGAGAUCUGGAGGAACACCGAUGGCGAAGGCAGCCCCCUGGGCUAACACUGACGCUCAUGCACGAAAGCGUGGGGAGCAAACGGG